GGGGGCGAACCAGGAUCGACCGGAUUGCUGAAGACAGAGGUUGCGUGUCGAGGUUGGUCAGCAGGCCUCGUAAAAAGCCGACCGAACUAUAAGUGCCAACAACAGCACUCAAACCCUCCGCCUCGCUGCCUAAACAGUGACGGAGCUUCGAAGUGGACUUCGGCCCGAGAGUCCGCUUCGAAGACGCCAAUUCGGGCUGGUUCGAACCUAACCGCCGGUUGCUGUUCGAGCGAGAUUUUAUGAUCGGAUAAGCGGAACGGGACCCUGCCCACCGGGGACCGUCCGACGAAAACCAAAUGAGGGGACACACACGUAGACGCCCUGACGGAUGGGUCUCGGGACGCGGGUGCAAUUCCCGCCGCCUCCACUA
rnacentral:tmRNA from 1 species